AUGCAACAACCAAUGAAAGCAAAAUUUUCAACAAUGGUGGCAUCAAAGAAAAUAAUAUCCACCCUGCUAAUUUGCUUGGUGAUUACUAUGGCCUCUGUUAAACAAGCGGAAACUCUCUCAGAUUGUGCCAAACAAUGUAUGCCCGUGUGCUUGAAAGAGCAUGGUGCUACGAUCAUGAUAUGUGGUCCAGCUUGCGAAAAUUUUUGUCGCCAAGCUACUGGUACAUCCUCCUCAAAAACUUAUCAUGGAUAA